GACGAACGCUGGCGGCGUGCUUAACACAUGCAAGUCGAACGGAAAGGCCCUGCUUGUGUGGGGUGCUCGAGUGGCGAACGGGUGAGUAACACGUGAGUAACCUGCCCUUGACUUUGGGAUAACUUCAGGAAACUGGGGCUAAUACCGGAUAGGAGCUCCUGCUGCAUGGUGGGGGUUGGAAAGUUUCGGCGGGUGGGGCUGGACUCGCGGGUGAUCAGCUUGUUGGUGGGGUAGGGGCUGCCCCAGGCUUUGGCGGAUAGGCGGCCUGGGAGGGUGACCGGCCACCUUGGGCCUGCGGUACGGCCCAGACUCCUACGGGAGACAGCGGUGGGGAAUAUUGCCCAAUGGGCCGAAGCCUGAUGAAGAAACGCCGCGGGCGGGAUGACGGCCUGCGGGUUGUAAACCGCUUUCGCCUGUGACGCAGCGGGAGUGACGGUACUGGAUAAAGAAGCACCGGCUAACUACGUG
rnacentral:rRNA from 1 species